rnacentral:tRNA from 1 species
GGAUAUGGCGAAAUCGGUAGACGCUACGGACUU